rnacentral:rRNA from 1 species
CAUAUCMAAAAGCGGAGGAAAAGAAACUAACAAGGAUUCCCCUAGUAACGGCGAGUGAAGCGGGAAAAGCUCAAAUUUAAAAUCUGGCAAUCUUUGGUUGUCCGAAUUGUAAUCUAGAGAAGCGUUUUCCGUGCUGGACUGUGUGCAAGUUUCCUGGAUACGGAACAUCAUAGAGGGUGAGAAUCCCGUCCUUCACACAGACUGCCAGUGCUUUGUGAUGCGCUCUCGACGAGUCGAGUUGUUUGGGAUUGCAGCUCAAAAUGGGAGGUAAAUUCCUUCUAAAGCUAAAUAUUGGCGAGAGACCGAUAGCGAACAAGUACCGUGAGGGAAAGAUGAAAAGCACUUUGGAAAGAGAGUUAAACAGUACGUGAAAUUGUUAAAAGGGAAACGCUUGAAGUCAGUCAUGUUUGCUUGGACUCAACCUAACCUCGGUUUGGUGCAUUUCCUUGCAGACGGGCCAGCGUUCAUGUUGUUUGCCAGAGAAGGAGCGAGAGAAUGUGACUCCUUWGGAGUGUUAUAGCUCUCACUCGCAUGUGGGGAACAAUAUGGAGUGGUACAGCACGCUUGUCGG